GUAGGUGGCAAGCGUUGUCCGGAAUUAUUGGGCGUAAAGCGCGCGCAGGCGGUUCUUUAAGUCUGAUGUGAAAGCCCACGGCUCAACCGUGGAGGGUCAUUGGAAACUGGAGAACUUGAGUACAGAAGAGGAAAGCGGAAUUCCACGUGUAGCGGUGAAAUGCGUAGAGAUGUGGAGGAACACCAGUGGCGAAGGCGGCUUUCUGGUCUGUAACUGACGCUGAGGCGCGAAAGCGUGGGGAGCAAACAGGAUUAGAUACCCUGGUAGUCCACGCCGUAAACGAUGAGUGCUAAGUGUUAGGGGGGUUUCCGCCCCCCUUAGUGCUGCAGCUAACGCAUUAAGCACUCCGCCUGGGAGUACCGGCCGCAAGGCUG
rnacentral:rRNA from 1 species